rnacentral:rRNA from 1 species
AUGAACGCUGGCGGCGUGCUUAACACAUGCAAGUCGAACGGAAAGGCCCAAGCUUGCUUGGGUACUCGAGUGGCGAACGGGUGAGUAACACGUGGGUGAUCUGCCCUGCACUUCGGGAUAAGCCUGGGAAACUGGGUCUAAUACCGGAUAGGACCACAUUUUGGAUGGUGUGGUGGAAAGUUUUUCGGUGUGGGAUGAGCUCGCGGCCUAUCAGCUUGUUGGUGGGGUAAUGGCCUACCAAGGCGUCGACGGGUAGCCGGCCUGAGAGGGUGUACGGCCACAUUGGGACUGAGAUACGGCCCAGACUCCUACGGGAGGCAGCAGUGGGGAAUAUUGCACAAUGGGCGCAAGCCUGAUGCAGCGACGCCGCGUGGGGGAGGACGGCCUUCGGGUUGUAAACUCCUUUCGCUAGGGACGAAGCGUUAUGUGACGGUACCUGGAGAAGAAGCACCGGCUAACUACGUG